rnacentral:ncRNA from 1 species
CCAUCACAUUCACGCCGAGCGACUGGCUCUAACGCAUGCCUUGCAUGUUACGACCAGUGUGCCGUGGCUGUUAAGCCACCGGGUUGUUUUGGAAACGAAAUAACCUCCCGUACUUGGAAAGGUGUUGACCAUGCUAAUGGA